UGGCUCACGCCUGUAAUCCCAGCACUUUCGAAGGCCGAAGUGGGCAGAUACCUGAGGUCAGGAGUUCAAGACCACCGUGGCCAACAUGGUGAAACCCCGUUUCUACUAAAAAUACAAAAAUCAGCUGGGCGUGGUGGAGCAUGCCUGUAAUCCCAGCUACUCGGGAGGCUGAGGCAGGAGAAUCGUCUGAGCCCAGGAGGUGGAGGUUGCAGUGAGCCGAGAUCUCACCACUGCACUCAAGCCUGGGCGACAGAGUGAGACUCCAUCUCAAAAAAACAAACAAAAUGCAUGCAAUCUGAAUCAAAAAUCCCAAUGAGGCUUUUAAGGGAAACUGGGUAAAAUGAUUUUCAUGUUCCUAUGGAAUAAGUGUCAAGAAAACUAUGAAAAAGAACUAAAGAGGGACUUGCCUUCUGGUUCACCAGACUAUUGUGAGAAAAACAAUAUGACAUUGGCACAAAAAUGACAAACAUCAGUAAAACAAAAUAGACUUCAGAAAUAAAUCCAAGGACAUAUAUGAUGACAACAUAAAGUGUCAUUUCGGCUCAUGAGGGUAAAGGGUGACUUCAUAAACAGUACUGGAAUAGGUGGCUCUCUAUCCAAGAGAAAACAGAAAUUAGAUGCCCUACCAAACAAUACAUUUUAAAAAAAUUUUUUUGAGAUGGGGUCUCACUCUGUCACCUAGGCUGGGGUGCAGUGGCACGAUCAUAGUUCACCAUAGCCUUGGAUUCCUGGGCUCAAGCUAUCUUCCCACUUCAGUCUCCAGAGUAGCUGGGACAACAGGUGCAUGCCACCUUGCCCAGGUAAUUUUUUUUUUCAAAAUAAUUUUUAAAAUCACCAUUGGAUCUGCUAAACAAAAUAAUUUUAAUUACAUAAAAAUCCAAACAAAACAAUAAAAAUAUAGGAAGAAAAUCUAGGCAUAUAUUUGUAGAACUUUGCGAUGGAAAAGACCUUUUUAAGCAGAACAAGAAACACUAGGAAUCAUAAAGGAAAAAAACAUUUGAUUACACAAAUAUUAAAGAUUUUUAUAUAUGAAAAGAUUACAUAAGCAAUAACAAGAUAAAUCAUGGACUACAAAAAUGUGCAGCAAAUGUAUUGGAAAGUUAAUAGGCUUAAUGUACAAAGAACUCCAAAUAGAAAAUGGGGCACAGGAUUUGAAUAGGCAGUUUAUCAGAGCGACAACUUAAAGUGCUAUUAUAUACAUACAAGUAUUAAACCCCACUAGGAGUCCAGUCAAAGCAAAUUGAAACAGCAAUGACAUAUUCUUUUUUUAACCUGUGAGAUUAGCUGUAACACCCACUGUUUGUAAGGUUGAGGGGAACGAACUCUCCCAUAUACUGGUGUAGACACAUGAAUUACAUUUGAUGUUUGAAAAAGAAAAUCCCUGAACCCAGAAUAGAAUUGAUAUUGUGGUUACAAGACAGAUAAAAGAUUUAUGUGUAUGGACUAAGACUAGAAGAGAACAAAGACAAGCAAUCCCUUUAAUAAAGGUGGUGGCCUUGUGGGUGAUCAUUUUCCCAAUUUUUGUUACGAAAGCAUGCAAUAAAAAUAACUUGCAAGAUUUCCAUCUUUGUAUAGUAAGUACAUUUGCCCUUUAAAAAUUAAUUUUCUGAAGAACCACCAAAGCAUACUGCCUUGAGAGAGAAAGGAACUUUAGAAAGUCUGCCACAACCACCACUUCAAGGGGGAACAGUAAAAAUCAAUAAAAGUGGACACAAACAUGCAAGGCUAAUGGCGAAACCUCACAUGUUGCUAGUGUGCUAAUGUCAGAGGGCAAUCCAGAAUUGGACUAACCUUUAUUAGGAUGAUGUAAGGGAACUCUCCCCCUUUUCCUGUGUUCUAGCCUGGGAGGGCUGGAGUAGAUGCUCCCUUUCUCUGAUGACAGAACUAGUCUCCUGAUAGCUCACAAAGGAGUGGAAGGUAGGCCCCAUGCCUUCAAAUGACUGGCUGCAUCAGUCAAGGCCUACAUUGGAGGGAAAGAGAUUGGAAACAGACUCAUCUCAGCCUCUGGGUCUCCCAAUCCAGCCUUACUAGAAUAAAUCGCACACUUAAUUGGUGGUUUCUUGUCUAUCUUCAAUGUGGUUAGAACUCAAGAGGGGAGGACAGGUGACUAGAACCUUCAAAACCCCAACAGAUGGCUUUGCAAUACCCCUCCUAUUUCAAAGAAUCUCAGACAAAAGGAAAUGGGUUCUGCAUUUAAAAGCAGAAACUGGCCUCUUAGAAAGCAAAAUAAUAUAGGUCUAGUUAACUAUUCUAUACUUUUAGUCAAUGUGUUUAGAUACUUCUGUGGUAGUUCAGAGCCAAACAACAGUCUCGACAGGUCACUGUAAUGCCAGAUCCUUUGUGUCCACCAAUACCAGCAAUACAAGUAACAUGAGAGACCAAUUGAAUAGGAAAAACCAAGUAAAGGAAAGUAAUUCUUGAUUUUGACCUCAAACUUCAUGGAGUGAGUACUUCCAUCACAGAGGUCAAAACAUGAUUUUGAAAUCCAAGUCGGUACAGAUGCUAUGCCUAUAUGCACCAGUGACAUGUUCCUUGGUGCUAUUAUUAGUGUUGAACCACUGAAGGGAGUCGAAUC
rnacentral:lncRNA from 10 species